rnacentral:rRNA from 1 species
GAUGAACGCUAGCGGCAGGCCUAACACAUGCAAGUCGAGGGGCAGCAUAAAAUAAGCUUGCUUAUUUGGUGGCGACCGGCGCACGGGUGCGUAACGCGUAUGCAACUUACCCUGUACUGAGGGAUAGCCCAGAGAAAUUUGGAUUAAUACCUCAUAGUAUUGAUUGAUCACCUGAUUAGUUAAUUAAAGGUUACGGUACAGGAUAGGCAUGCGUCCUAUUAGCUAGAUGGUGAGGUAACGGCUCACCAUGGCGACGAUAGGUAGGGGGCCUGAGAGGGUGGUCCCCCACACUGGUACUGAGACACGGACCAGACUCCUACGGGAGGCAGCAGUGAGGAAUAUUGGUCAAUGGGCGAAAGCCUGAACCAGCCAUGCCGCGUGAAGGAUGAAGGUUCUAUGGAUUGUAAACUUCUUUUAUUUGGGAAUAAACCCCUGGUCGUGCAUCAGGGCUGAAGGUACCAAAUGAAUAAGCACCGGCUAACUCCGUGCCAGCCGCCGCGGUAA